AUCUUUUUGGAGGCAUCGGAUAAAAUUGGAACGACACAUAGUAGAUUGGCAUCGACCUGCACAAGGAUGAGACUCACAAAUCGAGAAAUGGUCCAAUUUUUU
rnacentral:snRNA from 1 species